rnacentral:rRNA from 1 species
AAAACGACUCUCGGCAACGGAUAUCUCGGCUCUCGCAUCGAUGAAGAAGCUAGCGAAAUGCGAUACUUGGUGUGAAUUGCAGAAUCCCGUGAACCAUCGAGUCUUUGAACGCAAGUUGCGCCCGAAGCCAUUAGGCCGAGGGCACGUCUGCCUGGGCGUCAC